rnacentral:rRNA from 1 species
AAGAUGGCGACCGGCGCACGGGUGAGUAACACGUAUCCAACCUGCCGAUAACUCCGGAAUAGCCUUUCGAAAGAAAGAUUAAUGCCGGAUGGCAUACGAAUAUCGCAUGAUAUUUUUAUUUAAAGAAUUUCGGUUAUCGAUGGGGAUGCGUUCCAUUAGUUUGUUGGCGGGGUAACGGCCCACCAAGACUACGAUGGAUAGGGGUUCUGAGAGGAAGGUCCCCCACAUUGGAACUGAGACACGGUCCAA